GUGAUUUAUCUGAAGAUGAGGAAAGAGCAAGAGGUUACUAGAAAACAUGGUCUGUGAAUUGUUGACAGAGAUGGUCACUUCUGCAGAAACUCCAGGUGCCCUUGCCAAGUCCAGGUACAGGUCUAAACUAGCAAACCAAAUGCAUUUUCUAGGUUUAAAGUAAAGGUGGGUGCUGAUCUCCAGGAUGACGUGCGAAGAUGCCAAAUCAUCCGAGACAUGAUUGGACUGGAGAAGACUUUGAUGAUGGAUGCCAACCAGCGCUGGGAUGUGCCUGAGGCGGUGGAGUGGAUGUCCAAGCUGGCCAAGUUCAAGCCAUUGUGGAUUGAGGAGCCAACCUCCCCUGAUGACAUUCUGGGGCACGCCACCAUUUCCAAGGCACUGGUCCCAUUAGGAAUUGGCAUUGCCACAGGAGAACAGUGCCACAAUAGAGUGAUAUUUAAGCAACUCCUACAGGCGAAGGCCCUGCAGUUCCUCCAGAUUGACAGUUGCAGACUGGGCAGUGUCAAUGAGAACCUCUCAGUAUUGCUGAUGGCCAAAAAGUUUGAAAUUCCUGUUUGCCCCCAUGCUGGUGGAGUUGGCCUCUGUGAACUGGUGCAGCACCUGAUUAUAUUUGACUACAUAUCAGUCUCUGCAAGCCUUGAAAACAGGAUGUGUGAGUAUGUUGACCACCUGCACGAGCAUUUCAAGUAUCCCGUGAUGAUCCAGCGGGCUUCCUACAUGCCUCCCAAGGAUCCCGGCUACUCAACAGAAAUGAAGGAGGAAUCUGUAAAGAAACACCAGUAUCCAGAUGGUGAAGUUUGGAAGAAACUCCUUGCUGCUCAAGAAAAUUAAGUGCUCAGCCCCAACAUCUUUUUUCUUUGUGAAGUGAAAAGGCUUAAAAUUUCUUGGAAAUAGUUUUACAAAAAUGGAUUUAAAAAAAUCCUGUGGAUCAAGAUUAGUUCAGCUAAAAGUCAUACCACCCUCAGGAAUCAGCUAAGUAAUUAUUACUUGAUUCUUUUAGCAAAUCAAUACACAUUAUCCUACUUAAUCCUUAAAUAAGUUUAGAUUUAACUAACCCAAAGUCCAGGAGGAUGUUCUUACAAAAUAUCUAUCAAG
rnacentral:sRNA from 1 species